rnacentral:rRNA from 1 species
AGAACGAACGCUGGCGGCAGGCUUAACACAUGCAAGUCGAACGGUUGUAGCAAUACAGCAGUGGCAGACGGGUGAGUAACACGUGGGAACCUUCCUAGGGGUACGGAACAACUCAGGGAAACUUGAGCUAAUACCGUAUACGUCCGUAGAGGAGAAAGAUUUAUCGCCCCUAGACGGGCCCGCGUAGGAUUAGGUAGUUGGUGAGGUAACGGC